rnacentral:tRNA from 1 species
GCGGAGACGAGGGAAGCGACGAUCUUCCGCGAAAGGUCUUGAAAACCGUCGUGAGGUAACCCCUCACCGUGGGUUCAAAUCCCACAGCCUCCGCCCCA